rnacentral:misc_RNA from 1 species
UCUCCGUAGGUGAACCUGCGGAAGGAUCAUUAAUGAGUUGUCAUGGGGUUCGAUGCUGGCAGCCAAUUUUUGGAUGCAUGUGCUUGCCCUAACAAUCAUCUUCCAAACACCUGUGCACAUUUUUGAGGGAGUCUUGAGUUGGUUGCCGCUCUUGGGUGAUUUUCUCACAUUCCCUUAAAUCAUUAUACGCUAUUAACAAUGUUGAACGUGCUCUGUGCCGCAAGGCUAUUAAUAUAAUACAACUUUUAACAACGGAUCUCUUGGCUCUC